UUUGUUGUCCGACUCUGUUGCCUCCGGGGCGACCCUGCCUCCGGGCGGGGGCCCCGGGUGGACACUUCUAACUCUUGCGUAACUUUGCAGUCUGAGUAAAUUUAAUUAAUAAAUUAAAACUUUCAACAACGGAUCUCAUGGUUCUGGCAUCGAUGAAGAACGCAGCGAAAUGCGAUAAGUAAUGUGAAUUGCAGAAUUCAGUGAAUAAUCGAAUCUUUGAACGCACAUUGCGCCCCCUGGUAUUCCGGGGGGCAUGCCUGUUCGAGCGUCAUUUCCCCACUCAAGCCUCGCUUGGUAUUGGGCGACGCGGUCCGCCGCGCGCCUCAAAUCGACCGGCUGGGUCUCCCGUCCCCUCAGCGUUGUGGAAACUAUUCGCUAAAGGGUGCCGCGGGAGGUCACGCCGCAAAACAACCUCAUUUCUAAGGUUGACCUCGGAUCAGGUAGGGAUACCCGCUGAACUUAAGCAUAUCAUA
rnacentral:sRNA from 1 species